ACACCAUUCAUGGCCUUUUGGCUAAGACCAAGUGUAGUAUUUGUUCUUAUCAGUUUUAUUAUCUGAUGUGUGGCUCUUCAAGCCUCAUAAUAUUAAUCUAAUUUUUCUCGGGUACUGGCCCAUCAAGCAGCUUGCUGCCCAGGCCAGAGCACAUUGCCUUGGUCAUGCUAUUAAAUGACACCAACAUUGCCCUCUAA
rfam:Physcomitrella patens subsp. patens PHYPAscaffold_49 genomic scaffold, whole genome shotgun sequence.